GACGAACGCUGGCGGCGUGCUUAACACAUGCAAGUCGAACGGAAAGGCCCUGCUUUUGUGGGGUGCUCGAGUGGCGAACGGGUGAGUAACACGUGAGUAACCUGCCCUUGACUUUGGGAUAACUUCAGGAAACUGGGGCUAAUACCGGAUAGGAGCUCCUGCUGCAUGGUGGGGGUUGGAAAGUUUCGGCGGUUGGGGAUGGACUCGCGGCUUAUCAGCUUGUUGGUGGGGUAGUGGCUUACCAAGGCUUUGACGGGUAGCCGGCCUGAGAGGGUGACCGGCCACAUUGGGACUGAGAUACGGCCCAGACUCCUACGGGAGGCAGCAGUCGGGAAUAUUGCACAAUGGGCGGAAGCCUGAUGUAGCAACGCUGCGUGCGGGAUGACGUCCUUCGGGUUGUAAACCGCUUUCGCCUGUGACGAAGCGUGAGUGACGGUAAUGGGUAAAGAAGCACCGGCUAACUACGUG
rnacentral:rRNA from 1 species